rnacentral:lncRNA from 1 species
GUGAUGGCCAAAUACAGAGAACUCUAGGCUCUUCCAGCCACAUGUGGUGGGGAAGCCCACGGAAAUGGUGCGGGUCCACAGCAGGAGCUAUAGUUUGACCCUUGAACUGUGAUCUACUUCUUCUCUAUCAAUCUACCAUUGAGUCUUUGAAGAAAGAAUCUGUUUCCCACCAAAGAGGAAAUCUUAAUUUUUAAAAUAGAGACUCUUCCUAGAAAAACAAAAGAGGAUGAUAGCAGGUUUAAAAAAAUGAGCACCUCAAACUAGCUGCCCAGAACGCUUACAGUCAUGCCCUUACCUUUUUGAGCUGGGGUUGUUGUGGCAUUGGAGUGGCUCAUUUCUGGCAUUCAGGCUUUAUCCUCCCACCACCUUUCUUAGAAAAAUGAGGGAAGUGGCAUUUACAGGAGA